rnacentral:rRNA from 1 species
UACGUAGGGGGCAAGCGUUGUCCGGAAUCAUUGGGCGUAAAGGGCGUGUAGGCGGCUCGGUAAGUCCGCUGUGAAAGUCCAGGGCUCAACCCUGGAAAGCCGGUGGAAACUGUCGAGCUAGAGUCCGGAAGAGGCGAGUGGAAUUCCUGGUGUAGCGGUGAAAUGCGCAGAUAUCAGGAGGAACACCAAUGGCGAAGGCAGCUCGCUGGGACGGUACUGACGCUGAGACGCGAAAGCGUGGGGAGCAAACAGG